rnacentral:rRNA from 1 species
UACGUAGGGUGCGAGCGUUGUCCGGAAUUAUUGGGCGUAAAGAGCUUGUAGGCGGUUUGUCGCGUCUGCUGUGAAAAUCCGGGGCUCAACCCCGGACUUGCAGUGGGUACGGCAGACUAGAGUGUGGUAGGGAGACUGGAAUUCCUGGUGUAGCGGUGAAAUGCGCAGAGUAUCAGGAGGAACACCGGUAGGCGAAGGCGGGUCUCCUGGGCAGUAACUGACGCUGAGGAGCGAAGCGUGGGAGCGAACAGG